GACUUAGGAUUUGAGCAUCUUUCUGUUAUGCUGUUGCCCCACUCCUAUUGCAAUACUCCCCUUCUUAAGAAAGUUUUUGUAGACUAAUGUCUAGAUUAAACUUCUUUUCUUUGACAAUAAUGAUGCCAUGACUUGGACAAAAUGCCCAUUGCCUCUGGGUCCUGCUUUCUUCACCCAGUGCUGCCUUAUUGGACUCCUUGUGCCUCUCCUUGGCUGGGGAAAUCAGAAUCCACAGUGAGCUUCAACUGAGAAUCUAGAAGAGAGUAGAUGGAAAAAUAUUUUUCCCUCCCCUCCAAAUGCAAGGAUAAUCUUACAUGAGUCCAGGAGGAAGGCUCAUUCCACACUAAGUGUUCUGAAUCAAAAAGAUGAGCAAAAUACAGUGCCAUUCUUCAAGGACUUCACAGUCUACAGGAAAGGGAUAUAGUUAAACAAAUAACUGCAGAAUUGGAAAUUGGAGCAGAUGUGCUUAGAAGUGUUUUGAACAAGGGGCAUGACUGUGACUCUCUCUGCUUUUGCAAACUUCAGGAAAACCUUUACUCACAGGUGAGUUCCACCUGAGGUUAAUUUGAAG
rnacentral:lncRNA from 1 species